rnacentral:rRNA from 1 species
UCGGGAAUUUUGGGCAAUGGGCGAAAGCCUGACCCAGCAACGCCGCGUGAAGGAUGAAGUAUUUCGGUAUGUAAACUUCGAAAGAAUAGGAAGAAUAAAUGACGGUACUAUUUAUAAGGUCCGGCUAACUACGUGCCAGCAGCCGCGGUAAUACGUAGGGACCAAGCGUUGUUCGGAUUUACUGGGCGUAAAGGGCGCGUAGGCGGCGCGGUAAGUCACUUGUGAAAUCUCUGAGCUUAACUCAGAACGGCCAAGUGAUACUGCAGUGCUAGAGUGCAGAAGGGGCAAUCGGAAUUCUUGGUGUAGCGGUGAAAUGCGUAGAUAUCAAGAGGAACACCUGAGGUGAAGACGGGUUGCUGGGCUGACACUGACGCUGAGGCGCGAAAGCUAGGGGGAGCAAACGGGAUUAGAUACCCUAGUAGUCCCUGAGCGGGCUGGCAAGGCGCAU